UUUCCCCYKKUUUUUAAAAAACAUGUYUUUUUGGAAAUAAUUUAAAGUYUAAUYUGCCCACUGAUAAAUAUAUUAAAGGGCUGCAGUAUUUUGACUGUACAAAGGUAGCAUAAUCAUUAGUYUYUUAAUUGGUGACUUGUAUGAAAGAUUGGAUGAAAUAUAAACUGUYUYUAAUUAAUUUAUAAAAUUUAAUUUUUUAGUAAAAAAGCUAAAAUAAUUUUAAAAGACGAGAAGACCCUAUAGAGUUUUAUAAUUUAUUUGAUUAUUAUUAAUAUGUAAAUUUUAAAAUUAAAAUUAAAUAAAUUAUUUUGUUGGGGKGACAGAAAAAUUAAAUUAACUUUUUUAAAUAAUUAACAUUAAUUUAUGAAUAAAUGAUCCAUUAAUAUUGAUUAAAAGAAAAAAUUACCUUAGGGAUAACAGCGUAAUUUUUUUUUUUAGUUCAAAUAGGAAAAAAAGUUUGCGACCUCGAUGUUGGAUUAAGAUAAAAUUUAAAUGCAAAAGUUAAAAUUUGAUCGUCGAUCAUUMGGC
rnacentral:rRNA from 1 species